rnacentral:misc_RNA from 1 species
CCAUUAGUUCUUUCUUGU